ACGAACGCUGGCGGCGUGCUUAACACAUGCAGGUCGAACGCUGAAGCUCAGCUUGCUGGGUGGAUGAGUGGCGAACGGGUGAGUAACACGUGAGUAACCUGCCCCCUUCUUUGGGAUAACGCCCGGAAACGGGUGCUAAUACUGGAUAUUCACUGAUCUUCGCAUGGGGGUUGGUGGAAAGGUUUUUUCUGGUGGGGGAUGGGCUCGCGGCCUAUCAGCUUGUUGGUGGGGUGAUGGCCUACCAAGGCUUUGACGGGUAGCCGGCCUGAGAGGGUGACCGGUCACAUUGGGACUGAGAUACGGCCCAGACUCCUACGGGAGGCAGCAGUGGGGAAUAUUACACAAUGGGCGAAAGCCUGAUGCAGCGACGCCGCGUGAGGGAUGGAGGCCUUCGGGUUGUAAACCUCUUUCGCUCAUGGUCAAGCCGCAACAUUGGUUGUGGUGAGGGUAGUGGGUAAAGAAGCGCCGGCUAACUACGUG
rnacentral:rRNA from 1 species